AGUAACCUCACUCUUCUCCACCCCCCUUCUCCAACCUGGCUUUCAUCAGAGCCAGUAACGAUGAGCCAAAGAAACUAGUCUGAGUCCUGGAGCUCUUCCUGCCCCACUGAGGCAGGGCUAAGCUGCUAACAAACAGAAACACAGCCCAAAGGUGGGCAGCAGGAGGAAAGAAGCAGAAGAGCUGACUUUGAAACAGAUUUGGUGACUAGGUGGUUCAAAGAUUAAUGAAAUGGAGGUGCCUGUGAAAUUUAGCCACAGCUGUCUCACCGUUCCUAGUUUGGCUUCUGGUGUCCAACACACAAGGCAAGGACCUCUCAGAGGCGCAGGAAGAACACCUUAUAGGAUUAGAGCUUUGAACUCUAAUUUGAGGACCAGGACCAGUCACCCAUGAACCAGAUUCCCAGGUGCUGCUGUCACCAGCAUGAAGACAGACUUUCAGAAUCCCAGUAGCCAAGGUAAUAAAGAUUGGGAGUCUUUGCAAUCCCUGCCUAGGAAGUAUUCUCCUUGCCAAGAGAAGCAUACAUUUUCCUGAUAUUAAAUUCUGAGUGAAAUUUAUAAUGUGGAUCAUUGUAUCAGGAACAUUGAACAACAUAAUGGACAAUAGCUUCCACAACAGUUUUUAGAGAAAAUGGGGAAAUAUUCUUCAUUUGACUGAUUCUUAAAAUGGCCUUCCAUAAAAGUCAUGGGCAUGGUAACCAACAUGAGUCAGUGGAAAUAUUUCUGCAGGGAGUGAAAUUAAUAUAGUCCAGGAAUUCAACUUUCUGGACAACACAACAAGAGUCAGGGAGAGAAUUUAAUAAACUUUCAGCAAUAAAUG